rnacentral:rRNA from 3 species
GCCUUCGGACUGGCCCAGGGAGGUCGGCAACGACCACCCAGGGCCGGAAAGUUGGUCAAACCCGGUCAUUUAGAGGAAGUAAAAGUCGUAACAAGGUCUCCGUAGGUGAACCUGCGGAGGGAUCAUU